rnacentral:rRNA from 1 species
UACGUAGGGUGCGAGCGUUGUCCGGAAUUAUUGGGCGUAAAGGGCUCGUAGGCGGUCUGUCGCGUCGGGAGUGAAAACUCAGGGCUUAACCCUGAGCCUGCUUCCGAUACGGGCAGACUAGAGGUAUGCAGGGGAGAACGGAAUUCCUGGUGUAGCGGUGGAAUGCGCAGAUAUCAGGAGGAACACCUGUGGUGUAGACGGCUCUCUGGACCGCAACUGACGCUGAGACACGAAAAGCGUGGGGAGCGAACAGG